rnacentral:tRNA from 1 species
GGUUUUGUAGCUCAGUGGUAGAGCACUUGCCUUGCAAGCGUGAGUCACUGUGUUUCAUCCUCAGCACUA